rnacentral:rRNA from 1 species
GAUGAACGCUGGCGGCGUGCCUAAUACAUGCAAGUCGAGCGAACGGACGAGAAGCUUGCUUCUCUGAUGUUAGCGGCGGACGGGUGAGUAACACGUGGAUAACCUACCUAUAAGACUGGGAUAACUUCGGGAAACCGGAGCUAAUACCGGAUAAUAUUUUGAACCGCAUGGUUCAAAAGUGAAAGACGGUCUUGCUGUCACUUAUAGAUGGAUCCGCGCUGCAUUAGCUAGUUGGUAAGGUAACGGCCUACCAAGGCAACGAUGCAUAGCCGACCUGAGAGGGUGACCGGCCACACUGGAACUGAGACACGGUCCAGACUCCUACGGGAGGCAGCAGUAGGGAAUCUUCCGCAAUGGGGGAAAGCCUGACGGAGCAACGCCGCGUGAGUGAUGAAGGUCUUCGGAUCGUAAAACUCUGUUAUUAGGGAAGAACAUAUGUGUAAGUAACUGUGCACAUCUUGACGGUACCUAAUCAGAAAGCCACGGCUAACUACGUG